rnacentral:lncRNA from 1 species
UUAGUGUCUGAGGACCCCGAUGGUGCCUGAGCCCCUAAUUAGUGUCUGAGUCACCCUAUUAGUGUCCGAGCCCCCCUGGUGGUGUCUGAGCACAGGAAGGAAAGCAGACCACGUGGGAGCCGGAUGAAGGGAAGGUUUCUAUGAAAUUGAAACAGCCUAUCUGCCAGUGGAGAAAGUUAUUUCAUCCUUUUUUGCCUGCAGUGAGAAAGGGGGAAAUCAGAGCCACAGAGAAGAGAAUGAAAUGUCCCUGAGGACAUCUGAGAAUUAGAGAAAAGAAAGCCUCAGAUUCUAAGGAGAAGUCCUUGCCACUUCCGAUCUGAGCCUGCUCUUCAGUGGACCCAAGUGUGGAGUGCGUCCUGCACAUCUCAGGCCCUCAGGAGGGCGGGUCCUGUCCGGGUUCACACGGCAUCCCCUUCCUGUGUCUCCCACAGGAAUACCCGGCUGUCCUGUGCGUUCCUGGAGCUCGGCCGCAGGGAGCGCUGCUUGUUGAUGAGUCUCUGGAUGGAGAUGAGUCUCCAUCUGGAUGGAUGAUGAGUCUCUGGAUGGAGAUGAGGCUCUUGAGAGGCGGUGGUGGU